GCUGGGUGUGGUGGUGCACUCCUGUAAUCCCAGUGGCUCUGGAGUCUGAGGCAGGAGGAUCUGGAGUUCAAAGCCAGCCUCAGCAAAAGUGAAGUGCUAAGCAGCUCAAUGAGACCCUGUCUCUA
rnacentral:sRNA from 1 species